rnacentral:misc_RNA from 1 species
CUCUUUUGCAAACUAGUACCAAAGUUGUCUCUUUCAAUCAUGGCCUCCAAAUCCACGCUCAUUUAGUAAAAUCCGGUCUUGAGACUGAUAGAUUUGUUGGCAAUAGCUUACUUGCACUGUAUUUCAAGUUGGGGCCUAAUUUCUUGGAGACGAGAAGAGUUUUCGAUGGCCUUUAUUUUAGAGAUGUAAUUUCUUGGACUUCAAUGAUAACGGGUUAUAUUAGCGUAGAAAAACCCAAGAACGCGCUUGAAUUGUUUUGGGAAAUGUUGGGUUUUGGGGUUCAGCCAAAUGCCUUCACAUUAUCUGCUGUGAUAAAGGCUUGUUCAGAUCUUGGGGACUUGAGGCUUGGUAAAUGCUUUCAUGGGGUGGUUAUGAUUCGUGGGUUUGACUCCAAUCAUGUUAUUGCCAGUGCUUUGAUUGAUAUGUAUGGGCGGAACUAUGGGCUAGAUGAUGCACGCAGGUUGUUUGAUGAGUUGCUUGAACCAGACGCUAUUUGCUGGACAUCUGUCAUUUCUGCGUUCACAAGAAACGAUAUGUAUGAUAAAGCUUUGGGAUUCUUUUUUUUGAUGCAAAGGAAACUUGGAUUAGCACCAGAUGGAUUCACUUUUGGGACGGUGUUGACUGCUUGUGGUAAUUUAGGGAGGCUAAAGCAAGGUAAAGAAGUGCAUGCUAAGGUCAUUACAUCUGGAUUUAGUGGAAAUGUGGUUGUUGAGAGUAGUCUUGUUGAUAUGUAUGGGAAAUG